GCCUGGGUGGCUCAGUCGGUUGAGCGUCUGACUUCAGCUCAGGUCAUGAUCUCGCGGUUUGUGAGUUCGAGCCCCGCAUCGUGCC
rnacentral:tRNA from 1 species